rnacentral:rRNA from 1 species
GUCCUACGGGGGGCAGCAGUGGGGAAUAUUGCACAAUGGGGGAAACCCUGAUGCAGCGACGCCGCGUGAGUGAAGAAGUAUCUCGGUAUGUAAAGCUCUAUCAGCAGGAAAGAUAAUGACGGUACCUGACCAAGAAGCCCCGGCUAACUACGUGCCAGCGGCCGCGGUAAUACGUAGGGGGCAAGCGUUAUCCGGAUUUACUGGGUGUAAAGGGAGCGUAGACGGCUGUGCAAGUCUGAAGUGAAAGCCCGUGGCUCAACCGCAGAACUGCUUUGGAAACUGUAUAGCUUGAGUACUGGAGAGGC